rnacentral:rRNA from 1 species
UACGUAGGCAGCAAGCGUUGUUCGGAAUUACUGGGCGUAAAGAGUGUGUAGGCGGUGCUCUAAGUUCGGUGUGAAAUCUCCCGGCUCAACUGGGGAGGGUGCGCCCGAAAAACUGGGGGUGCUGGAGCGCGGGAGAGGAAAGCGGAAUUCCUGGUGUAGCGGUGAAAUGCGUAGAUAUCAGGAGGAACACCGGCGGUGUAGACGGCUUUCUGGACCGUAGCUGACGCUGAGACACGAAAGCGUGGGUAGCAAACAGG